CAGGGUCUGAGCAUGUUGGACGGUAGUAGCAUUUUUUUUUCUCCUAAUAUCUUAAACCAGCACAUCAUUUCUUUAUCAAAGACUUUUCUGCCACAAGUAUGGGCAGUGGUGUGCUGCUGUUUAUAACAACCUGCUCUCCCGGAAUAAAAAACCCCGGGUGUGUCAUGCCAUUUGCCAAAUUCUGUGAAGUAAAUACUCUCACCACAGCUAAUCAACCAUCAGCUACUGAAGAAGUCACUGAAAAGUGAGGUUGGGCGGUCUCUGUGCAGUGGGCUCCAACGAACCAGUAUGAAUCUUCCUUGACAUUCAAUCGUCACUGCGCCCAACACCUCGCAAGCUGCCAAUGAGACAUUUUGUAAGUAUCGUUUAGGGUAACAGUGUUGUCCUUGGAGCCAGGGCAGCAGGAACUGGAUAUUCCAGGUGGUGGAGGAAAGCAUAUCCGGCUGGAACACGCUGCUCUGUUUUGUAUCGGAAAUAAUCAUAAAUACGCCUUGGUGUGUUUAUGUUAGCUGCCCUUCCCAGACCAGGCCUGUCUGCAAAAGCAAUCGGGGAAUAUGGAUGGCAAUAACAACAAUAACCAAAACAGGAGCCCGGGGAUUCUCCGAGGCCCCGAGGGACCUCAUUCCUUGGCAGAAUCCUAAAAAGCUCAUUAGCAGAUAUUAAAAUUCUCCCGCGUGGUCACCAGUAGGAGUCUCUGCACUGCCCUCUAGUGGUUUCAAUGGCGGCCGUCAUCUAGUGGUGGAUGACUACUUCCGGACCACACUGUCCCCUUCUUCUCAAGUGUGUUCGUGUCGCUGAAGCUGUCUGUCCUCGGUAAGGUGUGAGGCGAAGCCGCCUGACCACGGAUACAUGGGUAAUUGGACCCCACUUCUCUGGAGAAAGUUGAUACAAAAUUCCCACAUGCUGAAUGGGAAAAUCGCUGUCUCAGCAGAGAAGGAAGAGCUUCUUUCUCAGAGAGGAAAAGGAAAAGACUGGCAAAGUUCUCCCUGCAGAAAGGCCUUGGAAAGGUGCCUGUUUGGAAGAACCUUGAAAGCCAGCUCCAGGCACCUCUGUUUUAACCCACAAGAUUUGGGGUCAGAGCCUAUUGUGUGUCUCUCUGGAGCACCAGCGUCAGUCCAGAUAGUGACACACUGGAUCCCAUAUUCACAAAGGAAGCAAAUGCUCAAGGACGUUUGAAGAACUAAUGCAUCGCAGACAGGGGAUUUGAACUCACAUCUGUUGACACCGGCUGCAGUGAACACAUCACCCUGAUCAUCAGGGUCAUUGAUGUCAGUUAUUGGUGGCUGAUGCACAGCGACAGGACAGAUAUGGAAUGAGGAUUUAAUCAAUCGUGCCUCUGUAAUGAAGCCUUCAUAAAAAUCCCAAAGGAUGGGGUUUGCAGACCUCCUAGGUUAGUGAACCUGGGGAGAUUUGGGGGAGUGGUGUGCCUGGAGAGGGCAGGGAAGCUCUGCACCCCUUCCCCAUACCUCUGUCUGUUCCUGAAUUAUAUCCUUUUAUAAUAAACUGGUAAUCUAGUUUAAAAAAAA